CAGGAAGACAGAGUGGCAGUCAGAGUGGUAGGCAGAGAGGCACAAGGAGAAGCAGGCUCCCUGCUAAGCAAAGGAGCCUGAUGUGGGAAUCCAUCCCAGGACCCUGGGAUCAUGACCCGAAGUGAAGGCAGCUGCUUAACCAACUGAGCCACCCAGGCAUCCCCCUUGGCGCCCAUUUAUUCUUAAUGUUUGCUCUUUUCCUCAGAGUUCUUUUCCAUGUUUAAUUUUCUUAAAUUGAAUGGUUACCUGGCUUUUUUUCCUUUUACACUUGAUCUUCGCCAAAAGGCUGAGAAGCAGUGGCUUUUUUUCCUUUUAAAACUAUGUAAGCAUUUGGGGCGCCUGGGUUGCUAGGUGGGUUAAGCCUCUGCCUUCAGCUCAGGUCAUGAUCCCAGGGUCCUGGAAUCGAGCCCUGCAUUGGGCUCUCUGCUCAAUAGAGAGCCUGCUUCUCCUCUCUCUCUCUGUCAAAUAAAUAAAAUCUUAAAAAAAAAAAAAAAAAACCUGUAAGCAUUUAAUUAAGGCUAUGAAUUUAGUUCUGAUUUCACCUUUAAGACAUCAAAAUUUGGAAGAUGAGGUAAGUACUUUCAUUUUUUUUUGUUAUUUUUUAAUGUUUAACUUAAUAACUUAGAAUAAAGUAGCAUGCUAAUUUUCAAUUUAUUUUCUGCUUUUAAUUUGUUUUUAUCAUUCUUGUAAAAAGAUCAGUUGAUAUUUCUGUAAAUCUUGUUAUACUCUGUUUAUAAAGAUACUAGGUUUGGUAUUUUACAUUUUCCCAUCUAACUUUGCUUUACCACUUUUGUCAUAAACCUUUACUUUCCCAUUAUUACUCUCUUGGCUAUAGUUUUUGCUUCAGUUGAUUUGGUAUCAGUGUUCAGGGCAUAGUCUCUAACUAUCAUAACUGCAUUUUUUUUUCAGCUUUAUUGUGUUAAAAUUGAUGACUAAAGUUGUUAAGAUAACUGAAGCGGACAUCAGGAGUCGAUCUGCAGUAGGUCGUGGAAGGAUUCCUCCCCUCAAGUGAAGAACCGUCCAGCACCUCACCUGUUCCUCUUGGCUGUAUGUGGGAUGUACACAGUGAGAGCAUGAGCACAAGCAGGGGGAGUAAGAGAGAGAAAGCAGAUUCCCUGCUGAGCGAGGAGCCUGAUGCGGGACCAAUCCCAGGAAACUGAUCGUGGCCAGAGCUGAAGGCGGACACUUAACCAACUAAGCCACCCAGUUGCCCUUUGCAGCUGUGUUCGUCAAGGGUAUUAGCUGGUGGUUUCUACAUCCUGACCUCGUGUGGGAGACGAACCUCCUCAGCCAGCCUGGGCAGAGGUCUUGAUUGUCUCUUAAUCUUCUGUGGUGGCCUCUGCUGCCUUGUUUUCGGUGGCUCCCACGGCUUGAGGGUGUGACAAGGCAUGAGUACGCCAGAGGCGAGGCCUGCAGUGAGCUCCUAGACGUGGGCAGGACGUGGGGCAGCAGCUGCGAAGUUCCUCUCCAAUCCUGGAGAGCAAGCCCUGCUGCCUGUCAAAGCCGGGUGAUGCGGGGACCCACCCUUCAGGCGGCACCAGACGUCCAAGCAAACUGCUUCCCGGAAGGUACCUGUGGUUUGUCAGGAGUUCAAGUGAGAGUUAGAGGUAAGGACUCCCAGGAACCAUUUGCCAAGAGACUGUGUAUGCAUGACCCUUUCUGCCCCUUCGCUCUCCCGCCGCUGUGCAUCUCACCUGGGAAAGGAGCUUCGCUUCUCGGAAACCACUGCUGAGGCGGUUACCUCUCCCCUGCGUGCCAGGACCACGUACCUCCUACCCCCACUCAGCAGACAGGCUAGGAAAGAUCUGAUGCUUACUCUUCUACAAAAUGAAUGAUAAAGGAGCUUCUAACUCAAAAUAUGAGGGACUGUCACACGAACCACCCAGAGAGAAGGAGCCGACCUCAAUGCCGUGUAACCAACAUGGAAACUCCGUUUCAGGAAGCUGGGGGUUAGGAGGAAAGCAGUUCAGAAUACGCGCUACCUGCUAUUCUGGCCAGCGGCCUGACAUCGAGCCUCCGGGCCGCAUCCGCAGUCAUGAGCAGGAGGGCAGCCGCGCCGUCGUUGAGCGUGCUCGCGUUGGCCGCGGUGACUGUGCCUGGAAGCAGCAGUGAGCGUGAGGCCACGACACUUCACACCACGCUCAUUUGGUUCAACUGACUGAACUGCAGGCACCACGGAGGCUGCUGGGUGCAUGGAAAUGACCAGUAUGUGUGGAGACGAUGCCCGAUUUCAGGAGACCCACGCCUGGCUAUUUCUGGCUGGUUUUCUACCCCUUUGUUCACAGCUCGCUCAGCAACACCGGCAUGCCGGCAGGAGGUACAUGCUGGCUUACAAGGCUGCCAAGGUAAGGACCAGCUCGUUGCUCUUUCUUCCCAGAGUCUAACUUUGCUUAUUCACAUUAGAGCAGAUACUGUGUCAAAACCAUGUACAUCUUGGGGCACCUGGGUGGCUCAGUGGGUUAUAGCCUCUGCCUUUGGCUCAGGUCAUGAUCCCAGGGUCCUGGGAUCGAGCCCCACAGCAGGCUCUGCUUCCCUUCCUCUCUCUUUCUGCCUGCCUCUCUGCCUACUUGUGACCUGUCAAAUAAAUAAACAAAAUUUUAAAAAUAGUAAUUUAAAAAAACAAUAUCUUCUCUACAGUCACUUGAAGUUAAAUGUCAAGAAUACUAAAAAUAACUGAACUGGAUGUUUUAAAUUUUACAGACUGUAAAUUAUAUCAGGUAAGCUUUUUAUAAAAAUUGUGACCAAGCCCCUAUAGAUUGCAGCUAAAAAUAUACAAAUAUACUUUUGCAACAUAAAUUUUACAUGGUGCUUUAAAAAAGACUGAGCCCUCCCUGUAGUUGUCACACGGCAUUGAACUUGUAUUAACAAGUUCAAAUCAGGAAAGGCAGAAAAAGUAACUUUAGAAUCUAAUCACCAAUAGAUCUGCCCAUUUUAAAAGCAGCAUGGACCACACCUCAAGGAUUUCAAAAGCAUUAACUGAGACACUUGAAUCCUGUUUAUGAUAGAUUCCGACAGUUACUUACUGAGGACCUACUACAAGUAAGACACUAGAAAAAAACCGUGAACAACACUGCUGGCAACUUCAUCCUCAAAAAUCUUACAGGUACUUAACAUAUAAACACAUUUCGUUACAGAAUAAACUUUCAAAAUGAAUUAAAUAUGAAAAACUGAAUUCUAUACUCAUUCUAUAGUCUCUUCCCUAUGAUUUCUAUAUUGAAGGUAUUAACAAAAUUUUUAAUAUUUCUGGAUGAAUAUCAUUUGUUAAUUUCAUAUGAGCCUUGAAUUGAAAAUGCUAAAUAACAUCUAAAUGUUUUCUAGAAUUACUUAACUAAAAUCCAUAGGCAGUUCCAAGAGCAGAGGUGGUUAUAUGAACUCCACUUUUUGCUACGGUUCAUUUCUUCGUACUAACCAUUUUCUUUCUGGAAAACUGUCUUCAGCUUUGGGACUUUGCUAAAGUCAACCCGUUUAUAUUCUUCAUCUUCUUUCACCAGGACAUCUGGUUUACCUGCAGUACAAGUCUCAUCAGCAGUCAGGACAACGAGUCCCUCAGUAAGACACAGCAAAUGUACCCCCCACACCGGGCCUGCACACCUUGCACCACCCCAAGUCAACCCUACUCGAGAAUCCACCACCUACCCUCUCUCUGUUAGGGACUUGUAGAGUUUAAGUAGUUUAACAUUUUAAAUCUUUGAUGGCCCCAUCCCAUUCUCUUGUCUUGCCCUUUUUAGAUCACAGAUUCCAGCCACCUUCCUGACCCCAGGGCUGGACAAGCUCUAGUAAUUCCGCCAUCCCGAACCUCAUCAUUUCUCCAUGGAAAUGGAACCUAAACCAGUUAAUGAGUCUUCAUGCUGAGUCCCUGCUGGAGCAGAGGAGGAGACCUCCCUGCUCCGUGACCAACAGCCUUCAGAUGGGACCCGGAGAUGGAGACAGGACAAAAUGAUGCAGCUCCCAGAGUUGCUGCCGUGCGGCCUUCAGUCCUGGGAGGUGCCCCCCAAAGCCUGCCUCCUCACCUCAAAGGCUAAUAAACUGUCACUGACACUAGAAAAUGUCUAAUAAAUACAAAUAUAUUUCUCAAA